UACGAAGGGGGCUAGCGUUGUUCGGAUUUACUGGGCGUAAAGCGCACGUAGGCGGCCGUUCAAGUCGGGGGUGAAAGCCUGUGGCUCAACCACAGAAUUGCCUUCGAUACUGGACGGCUCGAGACCGGAAGAGGUCAGUGGAACUGCGAGUGUAGAGGUGAAAUUCGUAGAUAUUCGCAAGAACACCAGUGGCGAAGGCGGCUGACUGGUCCGGUUUUGACGCUGAGGCGCGAAAGCGUGGGGAGCAAACAGG
rnacentral:rRNA from 1 species